UGGACGACCCAGGACACAGGCCAGCCGCUACCUACCCCAGUGUGUUGGAGAAUCACACUCAACUUCUUCCUCUGUGCUGAGUCAUUAAAGUUGCCGGAGCAGGUGCAGUUACAUAACCUCCAGGCAACAUCACAUGAUUGCUUAAAAAGCAAUUAUCAAGUCCAGGAUGCAGCAUCUGUCUCAGUGCUUGGCAUAGGAUGAUGGUCUGAAAUACACUUACUGAAUUUGGAUAAGAACAAGCUCAGACAUCGAGGCUUGCCAUCAAGGCUUCUGAUCAACAUGAGAUGACCGCUGUGGAGUAAACCGAUGAACCCUGACCCAGUAGGUUUUGGCUACAGAAUGUGGAAAGAAGUCAGGUUACUACAUGUGUGUGAUCCUAGGGGUUCAGGACACCGGCCAGGUUUCCACAGAGUGAUGGGUUGUGCAGGUGACUCAUGCUCUAGUCCUCUGUAAGCUCCUAGAAGGAAGAAAUUAUGUCCUUUAGACUAAUAAAAUUCCUCCAAACCAAACACAGCACCUACUGUAAAGACACAAAGAUACUUUUAGAAUAAUAAAAAGUUUAUCCAUUGAGAAAUUCCUUAAUGAAACAGCGUAAGUAUCCAAGAGGUCAUUUGCCAGCAGAUUUCUUGAGGUGUAAAAAAGCAGAGGCCGUUGCCAGUCGCCACAGCGGCUGCAAUAGCUCCUCUAUCGUUAAACAGUGGGAUAGCUUGUACAGGUUUUUCAGUUGACGAUCAAUUUUAAAAAUUAGUUUUGGUCCCCACCAAUCAAUUAUUUAUUAACCCAUCAAUAAAAAUUUAAACACUCUGCGAAGCACAAUAGCUAUUAAAGAAGACAGAGGCAAUUUCUGUAUCCAGAGGAGCUUUUAGUCUGCUCUGGAAAGCAAGAUGUGUGAAAUUAGUGACGCAGUGCAUCGCGUGGAUGGAAAGGGAGGGACUCACAUGGGAACCAGAGGAGCUACGAAGGGAGGCAGCGGGGACUAAGACCUGGAAAUAACACGAGAAUCAGCAACAAAGGUGUCCGUUCCUCCCCAUGCACUUCAGUCCUUGAAAACCAUCUUACCAUGGAAUUCCACAGCGUACCCAGCAAUUCCAUAGCUUGAUGGCACACUCCCCUUUCUCAGCAUUCUUGAAAAUGGCAUUGGGCCAAGCCAUUUUACUGAGAAGUUACCUUAAACCAUUUGACAAACCAAAAAUAUUUUGUAAUACCCAUCUUCGAUGUUAGGUAGGCAAAUCACAAAGAAACACCAAGGUCUUCUGAGUCGUAUUUAUCUGAAAAAUCACAGCUUGGGUGCAUGUGAAGCCAGAGGGGCGCUACUGGGGCCUGUGGUACCGUGGCUCAGCUCCCCUGAGCUUCACAUGGCCAUGGAGCGUCCAGCAGGUGCAGGCUCUGAGCCUUCAGGGAGAAGUGGCAUCAGCCAGCACCAUCGUCUCCUGGGUCUUGUGCCUCUUCCUCGGUUGCGGUGUUGUCAGAGCCAGAACUGGGCAGUUCCGGGUGACACCCAGGUGUGUUUGCUGACGUGGAGCACAGGUGAAGUUCACUGAGGUAAGUGGGCCAUGGCCCUGGACUUCUAGUGCAGAGCACACCAUCCACUCAGCAUGUGAACCCAGCUCCAAAGCGUGUGUGUGCAUGUGUGUACCUGUGCACGUUGUACAUGUGUCUGUGUAUGCAUGUGCUUUGAUGCAUGUUGAUGUACGUGUGUAUCUGUGUAUUGUGCAUGCACACAUACGUGCAUGUGUUUGUGUACAUGAAUUUGUAUUGCACAUGUGCUUAAUGCGAACAUAUAUGUGUGGUCAUGUGUACCUGUGUUCGCAUGCAUGUGUGUUUGUGUGUGUAUUGUGAGCAACAAUGUGUGCAUGCAUGUAUAGGUGGGUUCAUGUGGGUUCAUGUUUGUGCAGUGUUGUAGUGUGUGUACACAUCAUAUACACCUGUGUGCAUGUAUACAUGGUAUUUCAGCAUGUUUGCAUGUGCGUUUGUGCUUGCAUGUGCUGUGUGUUUGUGUUGCUGGGAUGUGGGGAGGCUGCUGUGGAGACAAAAGCUGGAGAGAACUUGGUAGAGUGACCCAGGUGGGGAAAUGGCACCUGCAAAGGAAGGCUGGAGGGCCUGGGAUUCACGUUGAAAUGGUCAGUCUAUCAGCUGGGCUGGACACAGCCAUCAUGCUGGGCAGCCGUGAGGUUAAAACGGAAGUCCGGGCUGUGGGGAGGCUGAGAAUUGAGGUGUGUGUAUGAGAUGAGUCACAAGGGCUGAGCAGUGUGUGUGAGAGAAAGCAAGCGCAGCACCACUAAACACUCAAGAGAUUUCGGGGGAGUUACGGGUGGAGGGAGGACAUCAGAUCUACCCUGGAAGUUAAAUGUGUUUUGAGUGCAUUAAAUACUGCAGGCCACAGACGCCUUGUCUCCAUGUCUACUCUUUUAUAAAUGAAGUAAAGUUCUUGUGAAAUACUUUUCUCACUCUAAAGCUCACAAUCUAUCUUACAAAAAGUAUUUUAAAUUCCAUCCCAAACAAGCCGGGGUGAAGAGGGAGCCCGUGCACCAGGUGCUGCCAGCUUUGCCUGGCUCUCGCCUUCGUUCUCUUCCUUCCCCAGCUGCUGGGGAUUUUCUUAACGAUGGAGACGGGCUUGGGUUUGUCCUGCUGUGCUCUGCUCCCCAUCCCCGGAUCCAAGGUCCUGCCUCUGUCCUGUCCCCUGAGCCACCUCAGGGGUGCAGGGUCCCCCACCUGGUCAAGUGCCCGGCGCUGCGCUGCCAUUUGCAAGUUCUUCCUGCGACUGAACUCCAAGUGGCGCUGGGACUGCUGACUCCACCCACCGGACACCCCGUGUUCUUGCUUUUGGGGUUUCUGAAACAGCCCCAAGACUCUGGGCAUCUUGAUUUUGCUCCCGUUGCUUCUCAGGACGCCCUGCUCCUGUGGCUUGCAGCCCUGGCCUUCUCUUCAAGGACGCCUCUGCUCUUCUGCCUCCCACUCAGAUUGGACCUUCUUCAGUGCAGCCAGUGGCCGAGGCUUCCUCCGUGGGGCUCGGUGGAGCAGGACAGACGCUGCAUCCAAACUCCUCCACUGGUUCCAGUCUGUUCCGGUCAGGCCCUUGAGCCUCUAAAGCUCGUAGGUAAGAGAAGUAGCAGCUGACAGCACUUCCCACUCGAUUUGGGUGGACUCCAGCCUCCCCGGCAACGAUAAGAGAUCAAAGGCAUCGUCAAGGAAGCAGCUUGCUGAAACGCGGAGUGCCCGCCACUCUCAGGUCAGGUGGGACCCGCAGGCCAGCGUGGGUUCCUGAACACUUGGUUCUCAAUGCUGGCCACAGCCAUACCGUAAGGGGAACCAGAGCGUACUGAUGCAAACACCUCUUGAACUCUGGAGUCUGCUCCCCUUCCUGCCUCAGGUCCCUCUCCCAUGUGGUCCAGUCACCAUCCUCCACGGAGACUACCCGAAAACCCAGCGACACUCGUGUGCUUGCAGAACGGCACAACCCUUUCCCACAGCAGCUCUCGUGCUUAAUCAGAGGGAGGCUGUUAACGACCAGGUCAUAUUUGCUUGGUUUGUGUUCAAUGUAUUUUAUUUCUACCAAUAAAACUUUAAAAUAUCCCCACACAUGCAUUGCCUGUUAAAGAGUCUCUUCCAGGUACACCUGCCUUACACAUCAGUUAACUUGAUAAUUUCUUCCCAUUCUUACAAAAUAAGUUUCCUUCCCGAUCAGCUCUGUCCAGCAGCAACAAUAGUCCACGCAGAGACAUGCAACCUAAAACUCCGUUAGUGGAGGCACAAAGCUGAUGAGGCUGGAAAAAAAUGACCGAUUUGAUUACAAUUAGGACCUACAGGAGUGGAGCUCUGCCUAUUUUAGAGGCAAAGGAAAUGCCUGGGAGUCCAAUGACCAACAUUCUGUGUGAGGUUUCUAAUCACAAGGACGAUGGAGAAAAUGCAGAACAAAUGGUCAAGAAUAGGGAGAUAAUAAAUAGAAUUAUUUAUGGGCUGAGGAGAAUUACCAGGAGAAAGCCCAAGAAGCGAAGAUGAACAGAGAACAAGCUGACCGUUCACUCGUUUGGAAAGGCCUAAUCACCAAAGAAGGAGAGGAAUUAUGAGGAGCAGCGACCGAGUGGGCAGGACUCACGGGGAUCAGGAAAGGCGCAUGGGGGGAAAUGAGAGGCCUGAGCAGCUUCCCAGUGAAGGUUUUUGAAGCACUGUUUGAUUUUUUUCUCUACCCCUCACCAUCCCAAAAUUUUAGUUGUGACUAUUCCUGAGUACAUGGCUUGUGACAAGCAGUAUAUAAAAACUAACGUCAGUUUAAUUUUAAAACCCCUAGCGAUUUUCUGGAACUUAAAUAUCAAAGAGAAAAUGUCCAUAUAUGAUGUGUUUGUCUCGCUGGUGAUUUGUGCUGAUUCAAUUCCUUUUUCUUUCUUUUUUUUUUUUUUUUUCUUAAGGGGUCAGUUUUAGAAUUGGGAGACAGGUGCAUAAGAUAUAACUAUACAGCACAGGUUGGUUUUUUUUAAUAUAGAAAUAUCUGCCUUUAAAUGAGAACUGAAAAUGGAGCUUCUUGAAGGCCACCUACUGGUGACAGUGAUCUUACCGCCGUUCAAGCUUUCUUUGAACUCUUUGUUUUGAAACAGCCUCCGUAAUCAAUGGUGCAAGAUGUACUCUCCGGUGGCAAAACUUGAUCAUUGAAGAGUGUGUUUUAUUUUCUGAGGAGCUGAACUGUUCCAAUCUGAGUAUCCUGAAUAAGGAGAAUGGUCGAGGAUGAGUGAUGUCAUUUGGGCUUAAAAAUAAGUGGGUCUAAAAACUAAUUGUUUUCAUACAUUGUUCAGAUAUUGACUCAAAUAGCAAUUUUUUUUUUUUUUAAUUACAGGUAUCCAGAACUUGCAAAAGCUGUGUGUGGCUUAAAGGGAGACAAAGUGGUGAAGACCUGGUUUCCACCGAAGCUCUCACAGCCCAGCCUUUCACUGUGUGGCCAGGGGAAGGUGCUCCGGGUUGGGGAUGGGAAUGGGGGGCCGGGGAAGCCACCCCUCGAGGCCACUGGCCUGGAAGGUGGUCAUGUGGAGGACCGCAGGAGGUGACAUUGGAAAGUAGUAACAAGCCAUGCGGAUGAGAACAGAGGAGUGGGCUUUAAGGGAGAUGUCCUAAAAUGCUGCUAUGUAGUUUCAGUUCCAUAGACAAUAAGAAAUGCAGGCGAGAGGGCAGCCCAGUGGGAAGGAAGGAAGAGGGUGGUGUUGAGCCAGGUGAGUGGGGAGCCGCCCAGGGCACCGUGCUGUGCUAUAGGCCAGACGUAGGGUGCUUCUGCCAAACCCUUCAGCUCCUGGUUUGGGGCCAAAUGUCCUUCCUGUGGGAGAGAAGGUAGGCCCUAGGCAGCGUUCCAAACCCUAUCCAGAUUGGUCGCUGAGUACAGAGCAAAUGGAGCCCAGCACGAGACGUGUACCUUCACUGCCACGAUCACGUCGUAAACCGUGAGGCUUGGAGAGGACUUGAGAGCUCCUUCAAUGCCAUCUUCCAUCCGCUGCGUGAACCAGAAUAGAAAAAAAGGAAUAAGAAGAGACAGGAGACAGUAAGAGAAAUGGCCUCUCUCCUCAGUGGCACAGACACUUCAGACAUCUCGCC